rnacentral:rRNA from 1 species
AUUGAACGCUGGCGGCAGGCUUAACACAUGCAAGUCGAGCGAGCGGCGGACGGGUGAGUAAUGCCUGGGAAACUGCCUGAUGGAGGGGGAUAACUACUGGAAACGGUAGCUAAUACCGCAUACCAUCAGAUGUGCCCAGAUGGGAUUAGCUAGUAGGUGGGGUAAUGGCUCACCUAGGCGACGAUCCCUAGCUGGUCUGAGAGGAUGACCAGCCAGACGGGAACUGAACCACGGUCCAGACUCCUACGGGAUGCAGCAGUGGGGAAUAGUGCACAAUGGGCGCAAUCCUGAUGCAGCCAUGCCGCGUGUGUGAAGAAGGCCUUCGGGUUGUAAGUCACUAUCAGCAAGGAGGCGUUACUCGCAGAAGAAGCACCGGCUAACUCCGUGCCGGCCGCCGCGGUAAUUC